rnacentral:tRNA from 1 species
UUGAGAUGUAAUCAAAAAUGAUAUUUCUUUUACAAUGAAAAAGUGCUUAUAGCCAUCUUGAU